AACACAAAGAGAAACAUUUUUCCUACCUGCUGUUAAUUUACAAAUGCUGCAUCUUCUCUCUUGGAUGAUCUGCUUGAGAAUAACAAAAACUACAGCUCUGCUUUCUGUGGGCAACCUGACGAUACCAAUGCAGUUCAUGGGCAUGAGCUCCAAAGACGUGUUCCUGCUUCAAGACAUCAGCUUUGGUGGAAGUGCUGCCUGAGCAGAUGCAACAUGGUAAAGCAGUAACAGCGAUCUAUACUAAUGUUUUCUAAACAAUUUCAUGCUGUUGGAAAAUUACGUUUCACUUUUGUGUUUGUUCUGCUAAAUGAAGCAGAUGCAUUUCACAGUGACAGAACAAGUUUCAGCAGUCAUUUCAGUAUGAGAAAAUGUUACCAUUUCCUGAUUUUUUUUUAUUUAUGUUUUUCAGUAGUGAUAAUAUGUAAAAUAUUAUCUUUUAAUUAUGAUUGAUUUUGUUUAUGUCCUACAACAAUAGUAAUGCAUAAGAUAAUGUUUUCUUACAUUCAGCAAAGGCAUACUUUCUUUCUUUAUAAAUACUGUUCAGUGCUGGCAUAAGUGCAUAGCUAGCGGUGGUGGUUCUGCUGAGAAAGAGUGUUUCGUAGCUGAGAAUUUGCUCUAUCAAAUAGUGUUCUUGUGCUCUUUGUAUCUGUUGUAGUUUCCAUAGAAAUAAAGAGGAGGCAUUACUUUUAGAGUAAACUUUCUAUUUAUUGCUCAAAGUGAAAACACGUGGAAACAGUUUAAUUGGUCAAACCAGCUGAAGUUUUGACCUCCAGUGAACAACUAAAAGCAUGCACCAAAUUUUACCUGAAUUGGAAUGCAGAAGUACUUACUAUUGAAUUGUUUUGUUUUGCUUUACUUUAUGAUCUCUAUUAGUUUUAUGUUAUAUUGUUUUCUUGUUGUCCAAAAUAUAUUUGGAUCUUGGCUAAGAUUGAGUUUGUCUCUAUUGCUUUUGGCAGCUGCUUGAAUAUAUAUGUACAGAUAUUUCUAAUUUGAAGAAACAGGAUAAAAAAAAACUUACAGGUUUAUUAGUUUUCUGUGAGUAUAGUAUUUUUGGCAGGUGGUUGUUGUGUGGUUUGUUGUUGUGUUGUUUUUUCUUUAUUUUAAUUCCUCUAUUGUGCAUUCUCAUUCUGUUUUGCAGGCUGCUUCCUUGUUUUCAAGGAAGUUUUAUUCUUUUAUUCAAUGUAUUUUAUGUUAUUGCUGGUGAUUCUCAGUGUACAUCUGAACAUCUUACUGGGCAGCAUGAGAUCAGUUUUUACAUAGUUCAGUCAUAUUAGAUGACUGACGUACCCUCCUUGGUGUGUCAGCAGUAGCAGUGUUUCUCUUGAUAUCUGAUCUUUCUUAAAAGAAAAACCUCACUGAGAUAUGAGACAAUACACAAUUUUCAUUGUUUUAUGUAAGCACCAGCAUCGCUUAUGUAAAUAGCUAGCUUUUACUUUACCAUUAGUAGAACAAAUCUCUAAGGCCUAACAGAAGAAGAGUGUCACGUUGACAAGUAAUUAAGAAUUUCAGUGUGAUUUAACUUGACAGAAAAAAAUACUGAUUGUUUCUUAGAGCCACCUGUCUUAUUUAAGAGAAUCAUUAUCCAUAAAAUGAUUUUAAUGAUUCUUCUCAGUCUUAAAAGAAAAUGUUCCAUGCUUAUAUCUACAGUAUGAAAAGAGGAGAUGGUUAAGAGAUGGUUGGGGGUUCUCUCUGAGAUUUGCAGGGGCUUAUUAGGAUUUCUAACACCUCUCUCAGUAUGGAAAAAUGUUUUAUAAUGGACAUCUCUCAGCAGGAUGUUGGGAGCUCUGCAGAGGUAAUUGCUGUUCAGCAGUCUGCAAUGAGUAUAUGUAAGGGUGUAAUCAUACCUGCAAUAUUCACAAGAGUGAAUGGACCUGGGAAAAUGAAGGCAUUUAUCUCACCUGCCAAAAAAGCCUUUGUGUUUAUCAUCACACAGAAGUUACUCAGAGGUUUUGUUUUUACUUUCUCCUUGUAGGAGUGAAAGCAAUAAUUCCCCAUUCCGUCCCAUCUUUGGUUAACUGAUGCAAUUAUAUUUUGGAAUAAGGUAAAUGUUAUAUAAUGACUGUAAACAUGUAUCAGUCUUCUUGCUUUCAUUCCACAUGCCAUUCCAGUCUAUUUUCCAUUACCUUUAUCUCAUUUUCACUUUUUUUUAACCUUUCCACAAUCCCUCCAUCUCUGCCCUGCCUAUCCGCUUUAUUUUUUCACUUAUCCUUUGUCUAUAGUACCAUCCACUCAAUUCUUAUCUUUUUAUUUGUCCUUAAAAAUUCUUUCUGUCUUUUUCAAGACUCCUUUCUGACUUCUGUCCACCUUUCCUUUACACAGAAUCUCCUUUCUUUCCAUGGAGCUCUCCUAGAAUCCCCUGUUGCUGUCCUUGAAACUCAGAAGGAAAGCCUAAGCAUUAUUCUUUGAAGUGAAGUAGUCCUGUGGCAGUGUGAAUCAAUCUGUGAAGCCAAACAUUUUAUGUAACCAAUCAUCCAGCAGGGACUCAGUGCAUACAGUUGUCAUUUGUGUAUCUUUUUGUCUGCUAGCUUUCCCAGUUGCUUCACUCCCAGCUUCUUUCCACUGGAUAAGCAAGAAGAGAGGAAAGGCUGCUAUGAUAUUUCUGCUGCUUUUGUGCAUGUAAAUCCACAGCAGUCAGGAAAGAGCUGCUCUUGUGCAAAGCAGGAGAAGCUGUAUGUUUCUUCAUGACAAGCACUGGAAAAUUAUGAUGAAGAAGAGGGGACAGGGACAAGAAUAAAGGACAGCAUUUACUUCUUACUGGGACUAUGCUCAUCACCCUCUUUAUUCAGCUGUUAACCUUUACUUCUAGCUUUACUAGAUCAACGCAUAAAAACAGCCAUUCCAGAAUCUGAAAUCUCCAGACUGCAAAUAUUUUCUGUUGCCCAUGAGUUUUUUUAAAGAAAUUUUCUUUCAGCUCUGCCAACUUGACAAGCAGCUGCCACAUUUUCUUGAUGUACCUCAAUCUCAUGUGCGAGGAAAAAGCAACACUGAAUGGAAAUGGCAAUUAAAAAAAAAAAAAUGUUGUACUGUGGACUUGUGAUUCCUUUAUAAGCAAAUGGUUGUGGAAAAUUAAUAUACUGAGAAGGAAAAACAGAAAGUAUCUUACACCACUGAACAGUGGUUUGUAGAUAUAUCUUCUGGUGAGUAAUCCUAUGCCUCGUUUUCCUGUUGUAAUUUAGAAAAAGUGUUCCAAUAGUAAAUAAUCUUGAUUGCAAGAAGUCACUUUCUUCCUCAGCUAGUGUUGCAGCCUCCUAUACUUCCAUGCAAGCUUCACAUUCCUUUGCUGGAAAUCAACCAUUGCAAAACAUACCAGCUCUCGUAAUUCAGUACUAAAUAUAUAUAUAUAUGUACACAUAUAAGUAAAAACCUUUUUAUUUAUACCAAAAAUACUCAAAAUAGAGCUAUUUGUUUUCCUAGAAAACACUUCAGUUUCAAGCCUCAAAAGUAGAGGUAUAUACCACAGUUAGACAUAUUCUGCAUUAGGUCAUAUCCAUAUAGAUCCAGUAGUGGUUUGGGUGUUCAUUAAAAUCAGAUAAUUUUCAUAAAAAUGUGAAAAAUCUCAACAAGAUCCUUCUGAAUCUAAUAAUUUAAAAUGUCACCUAAGCUUUUCAUUAAGAUCAAGUCUUUCAAUAUCUCAAAAAAUGAUCCUUGUUCCUGUAGUGAUAAUUAGUUGAAUGACAUAAUUAAAAAAAAAAAGAUAAUUCCAACAGAACUCCAUUUACUGUAUCUCUGAUCCCAUUUGCUUACAACUGUGCACCAUUAAAUUUUUCAGCGGGCAAGUGAUGCAUUUUACACGGUAGCUCUUAAGAUGAUGUCAUUCAGACAUCUUCUCAGGCCUAAAACUUAGUUUUGUAAAUCUGUACCUCUUUCAGCAAGCAAAAAACAUAUCCAUACUGUGUCACACUCAUAUCUUGCUUCACAGAUAGCAAAGAGGAAA